rnacentral:lncRNA from 14 species
GCUCCGCCAGCACCAGGGCCCGGCCCUGCAGAUAAACUCGCUUUAUUUUAGUAGCAAAGAGCUGAAAAAGUCAGUUCUACCUGGAGUCAAACAAAGCGGGGCUGGGGGCCGGGGGGCCCCCGCCCCCCUCACGCCUUGUUGAGGGUCCAGAGGGGGUCGAGCAUGCUGAGGGGGUCGUCGCUGGGCCGGGGCGCCCGGAGCCCCUCGCCCGGCUGUGCCUGCAGGAAGUUCUGCUUGUUCAUGCGCUGCUUGCCCUUGAGGGACGCGUCCAGGCUGAAGGCCUCGGGCGUCAGCGAGGCCAGCAGCUCCAGGGAGGAGGAGGAGGAGGCCGGGGCUCUCCCCCCCGACGUGGUUGCUGCUCUCAGCGUCACCCGAUGCCUCGGGGAGGGGCGGCCUCGGGGCGGGGGGCUCGGGCUCGGGGGCACCGACGCCAUCCACGAGGCCGUCGGGCACGGCCAGCGGCACCUCGGGUUCCACGGGGUCCGGAGCGGGGCCGGGAUCCGCCCCCCAGCCCUCCCCGGGCUCGGCGCUGGGGCCCCCCGGUUUGAUGCUGAGCUUGGCGAUGGUGGCCUGGAUGGAGCUGAUGGGCACGUCCCCCCCCAGCACCAGGUCCUGGGGGUCCUGCUGGAAGUAGAGCUGGGGGACAGCGGCCCCGUGAGCCCCGGCAGCGGCAGAGCUCCCCAAAACCGCCCGGCACGCCCCCACACCCACCUUGGGGGAGGUGCUGUUGGGGGGCUUGGCCAGGCUGGGGCCGCCCACGCCGUGGCGCAGCAGCACCUGCUCGGCGUGGAGCAGCACGGCCUCGAAGCAGAACUUGAGGUGCAGCUGCAGGGGACAGGGGAGGGGAGGACAUGGUGAGGCCCGGGGGUGCCGCCCCACGCCCCCGGGGCCGCAGCCCACCUCAGUACCUUCUCCUGCAGCAUGUGCUUGCGCUGCUGCCGCAUCCGCCGCACCAGCUGCGCCAGGUCCGGGAUGCCGUUCCCGGCCUCCACCUCCUAGCAGGCGAAGGGCGUCCAGCGAGGCAGAAAAGCGUGCGCCCCCGAGCCGCGACACCCCUGAGCUGCAGAGACCCAGCAGGGCAGACACCCCGACGACAGACGCCCCAGGGACAGACACCCCGAGCAGGGACAGACACCCCUGAGCCCUGAGAGACACCCCCGAGCCCUGACAGACACCCCGAGCAGUGACAGACACCCCGAGCAGGGACAGACACCCCUGAGCCCUGGAACACCCGACCUGACAGACACCCCUGAGCGGGACAGACCCCUGAGCCCUGACAGACACCCUGAGACACCCCCGACAGACCCCCGAACGAAGGGGGCGACAGACCCCAGGAGGGGGGUCCCUCUCUCCACUCCAGCCCUGCUCACCUGCAGUGCACCACCACCGGGGUGUGCAGCGGCCGCUGGUGCAGGUAAUGGCCGUGCACCUCCUGGAUGAAGCGCAGGAGGCUCCCCUUGCUGUCGGGCAGGCCCCUGGCGUGGGGAACACACACUCGCUGGGGGCUCGCACUCAGACCCCCCGACAGGUCAGGGCUGCCCAAACACCCUCCCCACUCCCAGAGCCGAGGUCCCAGAACCGCCCCCGCAGAUCAGGACCUCUGGAGCCCCUCUUUGUCCCCCCACAUACAGCUCAGGCCAGGAGGUGAACUGGAGGUGGGCCACGGUGCGUUUGAGGCUCUGGUCCCGGUACUGCAGCGUCAGCAUCCGCUCCACGUGCGUGGGGGUCACCCGCAGGCUGGUGAGCACCACGCUCAGGGGGCCGUGCGCCACGGGCUGGCCCCGCUCCGACGGGAAGUACCGGAGCACUUUCUGCCGCGGGACAGGCCGUCAGCACGGCCCGGGAGCCUCGGGCCCCGCAGGGCACCGGGCAGGCGGUCCCGUCCCCGGGUCGGGAACCCGCCCGGCCGGCCUGCACCCGGCAAGGGACGGAACGCACCUUGUCCGAGCUCCUGCUCGGACACGAGCAUGACCACCACGGACACCUUCUGCUCGUAGAUCAUGAGCCAGAAGUCGGCGGCGGUGCCGAGCAGCGGGGCCUGGGUGGCGAUGAGCGCGGGGCAGUACGGGGACAGGUCCUCCACGCGGCUGGCGUUGAUGUAGUCGUCCUUGCCCGAGCGCAGCACGACGCGGUUGCGGUCGUAGGGCAUGAUGUCCUGGUGCCGGUUCUUCAUGGAGUAGCAGCGGGCGAUGGCGAUGGAGCGCUGCCGGGCGUCGCGCUCCUGCGCCUCCUGCAGCUCCUUCCAGAGCGCGUCCAGCUCGGAGCCGCCGCCGGGCGCGGGCCGCUUCCAGCCGCUCGGCCAGGCCGCGGAACCGCUCCAGCUCGCCAGCAGCCGCCGGACGCUCCGGGCCCCGCUGCGAUCGGUCGGCUCGAUGAGCUGCACGGCC